rnacentral:rRNA from 1 species
UACGUAGGGGGCAAGCGUUAUCCGGAAUUACUGGGUGUGAAGGGAGCGUAGACGGUAAUGUAAGUCUGGAGUGAAAGGCGGGGGCCCAACCCCCGGACUGCUCUGGAAACUAUGUUACUAGAGUGCAGGAGAGGUAAGCGGAAUUCCUAGUGUAGCGGUGAAAUGCGUAGAUAUUAGGAGGAACACCAGUGGCGAAGGCGGCUUACUGGACUGUAACUGACGUUGAGGCUCGAAAGCGUGGGGAGCAAGCAGG